rnacentral:tRNA from 1 species
GAGGGUACAGCUCAGUGGUUGAGCGCAUGCUUAGCAGACACGAGGUUCUGGGUUCAACCCCCAGUAACCACA